UGACGAUAAUGGCAAACUUAUUGAAAAGUAAGGACGCAAAGCUACGGGUCUAAGGCAGAAUUGCUACGAUAGCCGGGUUACCGAA
rnacentral:ncRNA from 1 species